rnacentral:misc_RNA from 1 species
GUCGAGUGUUAGCCUAACCGCAAGGAGGGCGAUUACCACGGCAGGGUUCGUGACUGGGGUGAAGUCGUAACAAGGUAGCCGUAUCGGAAGGUGCGGCUGGAUCACCUCCUUUCUGGAAAACUGCAUUCAAGAUUGAACGCCCACACUUAUCGGUUGUUGGAACGAGUCGGGAAACCGACAUGGGUCUGUAGCUCAGCUGGUUAGAGCACCGUCUUGAUAAGGCGGGGGUCGUUGGUUCGAGCCCAACUAGACCCACCAAAUUCCAAUACACGGGUACGUGAGAGGACACUGGGGGAUUAGCUCAGCUGGGAGAGCACCUGCUUUGCAAGCAGGGGGUCGUCGGUUCGAUCCCGUCAUCCUCCACCAACCCAAGAGAAACUCAACACCAAAGCGGCUUUAACCGAAAAAAGGUCAAAGGCUGUUUUGUUGUUGAUCAAUAUCGAUUGAUCAAUCGGCUGUUCUUUAAAAAUUCAUAGAGUCGAAUCAGCGUUGUCAGAGGAAACUGCACAUUCGUAAAGGUUUAGUGCAGACCGUGCCUCUGAUGACAAUUUUUUGAUUGCGUCAAAACGAAUAUUCAAUAAGCGAAAGCUGAUUGAAAUUCAGUAAUGACGAAUGUUCUUUGAUAGUGAUAUCGAGGAAAUAUUCACAUUACGGCAUAACGCGCCAGGUGAAAGACCUGGCAAGUCCUAGACAAGAAGCGGCGAUGUUUCGAAAGAGACGUCAAAGUUAUAGGGUCAAGUGACUAAGAGCAUGUGGUGGAUGCCUUGGCGAUUACAGGCGACGAAAGACGUGAUAGCCUGCGAAAAGCUUCGGGGAGCUGGCAAAUAAGCAUUGAU